CCUACGGGUGGCUGCAGUGAGGAAUAUUGGUCAAUGGGCGGAAGCCUGAACCAGCCAAGUAGCGUGCGGGAUGAAGGCCCUACGGGUCGUAAACCGCUUUUGCACGGGGAUAACACCCUCCACUUGUGGAGGUCUGCAGGUACCGUGCGAAUAAGGGCCGGCUAAUUUCGUGCCAGCCGCCGCGGUAAUACGUAGGUGGCAAGCGUUAUCCGGAUUUAUUGGGUGUAAAGGGCGGGUAGGCGGGAAAGCAAGUCAGAUGUGAAAACUCAGGGCUCAACCCUGAGCCUGCAUUUGAAACUGUUUUUCUUGAGUGCUGGAGAGGCAAGCGGAAUUCCGGGUGUAGCGGUGAAAUGCGUAGAUAUACGGAGGAACACCAGUGGCGAAGGCGGAUUGCUGGACAGUAACUGACGCUGAGGCGCGAAAGCGUGGGGAGCAAACAGGAUUAGAUACCCCGGUAGUC
rnacentral:rRNA from 1 species